AUGGUUAGGGUUAGGGCGAGUCCCAGGUUAGGGUUAGAAUCCCAUACUAGGGUUAGGGUUAGGGUUAGAUUCCCAGGUUGGGGUUAGUGCUGGGGUUAGGGUUAGGGGUCAGCGCUAUGGUUAGGGUUAGGGUGAGCGCCAUGGUUAGGGUUAGGGCUAGAUGCCAGGCUGGGGUUAUCAUCAGCAGCCGCCCGGACUGCGAGUCGGCUGAUUUUUUGCAGGUCGGGACCCAGGAAACGCGGCGACAGUGGACGUGGCACUGGCUGGAUAGG